AACGCACAUUGCGCCCCCUGGUAUUCCGGGGGGCAUGCCUGUUCGAGCGUCAUUACACCACUCAAGCCUCGCUUGGUAUUGGGCGCCGCGCUUCGGCGCGCGCCUCAAUGUAUCCGGCUGAGUCGACCGUCUCUAAGCGUUGUGGCACUUUAUGUUUCCGCUUGUGAGCUCGGGAGGUCUCGCGCCGUUAAACACCCCAUCAAAGGUUGACCUCGGAUCAGGUAGGGAUACCCGCUGAACUUAA
rnacentral:misc_RNA from 1 species